rnacentral:rRNA from 1 species
AUUGAACGCUGGCAGCAGGCUUAACACAUGCAAGUCGAGCGGAGAUGAGGUGCUUGCACCUUAUCUUAGCGGCGGACGGGUGAGUAAUGCUUAGGAAUCUGCCUAUUAGUGGGGGACAACAUUCCGAAAGGAAUGCUAAUACCGCAUACGUCCUACGGGAGAAAGCAGGGGAUCUUCGGACCUUGCGCUAAUAGAUGAGCCUAAGUCGGAUUAGCUAGUUGGUGGGGUAAAGGCCUACCAAGGCGACGAUCUGUAGCGGGUCUGAGAGGAUGAUCCGCCAAACUGGGACUGAGACACGGCCCAGACGCCAACGGGAGGCAGCAGUGGGGAAUAUUGGACAAUGGGGGGAACCCUGAUCCAGCCAUGCCGCGUGUGUGAAGAAGGCCUUAUGGUUGUAAAGCACUUUAAGCGAGGAGGAGGCUACUGAGACUAAUACUCUUGGAUAGUGGACGUUACUCGCAGAAUAAGCACCGGCUAACUCUGUGCCAGCAGCCGCCGUAAAAC